rnacentral:tRNA from 1 species
CCUGAUAGCUCAGUUGUAAAGAAUCUGCCUGCAGUGCAGGAGAUCCAGGUUCAAUUCCUGGUCGGG